AGAAGACUCACAGGGACUCCCUUCUCUCCAGCUGGUCCAGGUGGGCCCUGAGGGCCUGGUCUGCCAGGAGGUCCAAUGGGUCCAGCAGUACCAGCUGGGCCCCGCUCACCAGGAGACCCCUAAGAAAUACAUGAGAAACCUACAGCAGGUCCAGGAGGUCCAGCAGGUCCUUCGCCUCCCUUCAGUCCUCCACCACCCUGGAAGAAAUGACCAUGAAGGAAUAAUCAUCACACUCUUAUUCUAAUAACUGAGGUAAGAAAUGUUUCUUAAACACCUGGAUCCUGGCUUGAUGA